GAGGGGAUUUGUAGACAUAUUGUGGAGGAGGAGGUGAUUCGUAAACAUAUGGAGGAGGUGGCGGUGACUUGUAGACAUAUGGUGGUGGAGGUGGCGACUUGUAUACAUAUGGUGGGGUGGUGAUGGAGAUGGUGGAGGAGGAGACUUGUAGACAUAUGGAGGUGGGGUGUACACAUAUGGUGGGGGAGGUGGCGACUUGUAGAUAUAUGGAGGAGGUGGUGAUGGUGGAGGAGGAGAUGGGUAAACAUAAGGUGGAGGAGGUGGUGACUUAUACACAUAUGGAGGAGGUGGGGGUGAUUUGUAGAUAUAUGGAGGAGGAGGCGAUGGUGGAGGAGGAGAUGGGUAAACAUAAGGUGGAGGAGGUGGUGAUUUGUAUACGUAUGGAGGAGGUGGUGAUGGUGGAGGAGGAGACGGGUAAACGUAAGGUGGAGGAGGUGGUGACUUGUACACAUAUGGAGGAGGUGGGGGUGACUUGUACACAUAUGGAGGAGGUGGUGAUGGUGGAGGAGGAGACGGGUAAACAUAAGGUGGAGGAGGUGGUGACUUGUACACGUAUGGAGGAGGUGGGGGUGACUUGUACACAUAUGGAGGAGGUGGCGGUGACUUGUAUACAUACGGAGGAGGUGGUGAUGGUGGAGGAGGAGACGGGUAAACGUAAGGUGGAGGAGGUGGUGACUUGUACACGUAUGGAGGAGGUGGGGGUGACUUGUAUACAUAUGGAGGUGGCGGUGAUGGUGGAGGAGGAGACGGGUAAACAUAAGGUGGAGGAGGUGGUGACUUGUACACAUAUGGAGGAGGUGGUGGUGAUUUAUAGACAUAAGGAGGUGGUGGUGAUGGAGAUGGUGGUGGUGGAGAUUUGUAGUAAUAUGGUGGUAAUUUGUAAUCAUAAGGAGGUGGCGGUGACGGGGGUGGAGGUUUAUAGUAAUUAUAUGGAGGGAACUUAUGGUCAUAUGGUGGUGGAGAUUUAUAGUUAUAUGGAGGGAAUUUGUGUUCAUAUGGAGGUGGAGAUUGAUAAUUGUAUGGAGGGAAUUUGUAGGCAAAUGGAGGUGGUGGUGAUGGUGGUGGAGAUUUAUAGUAAUUAUAUGGAGGGAAUUUAUGGUCAUAUGGAG
rnacentral:lncRNA from 1 species